CUAAGCGCACAGCUCAGUAACACGUGGCCAACCUGCCCUCGGGACGGAGACAACCCCGGGAAACUGGGAUUAAUACCCGAUAGGCGAAGACUCCUGGAACGGGUCUUCACCCAAAAGGUGUUAGGAUCAUGCUUUUUAACAUCGCCCGAGGACGGGGCCGCGGCCGAUCAGGUAGUUGGCGAGGCAACGGCUCACCAAGCCUAUAACCGGUACGGGCCGUGGGAGCGGGAGCCCGGAGAUGGGCACUGAGACAAGGGCCCAGGCCCUACGGGGCGCAGCAGUUGCGAAAACUUGUCAAUGCACGAAAGUGUGAACGGGCUACCCCGAGUGCCGUCCGCUGAGGAUGGCUUUUCUCUGCUGUAAGAAGGCGGAGGAAUAAGGAGAGGGCAAGUCUGGUGUCAGCCGCCGCGGUAAUACCAGCUCUCCGAGUGGUAGGGAUGAUUAUUGGGCUUAAAGCGUCCGUAGCCGGCCUUCCAAGUCUUUCGUUAAAUCCAGCGAUCAAUCGUUGGACUGCGGGAGAUACUGUUAGGCUAGGGGGCGGGAGAAGCCGACGGUAUUCUUGGGGUAGGGGUAAAAUCCUAUAAUCCCAGGAAGACCACCAGUGGCGUAGGCGGUCGGCUAGCACGCGCUCGACGGUGAGGGACGAAAGCUGGGGGAGCGAACCGGAUUAGAUACCCGGGUAGUCCCAGCUGUAAACGAUGCGGGCUAGGUGUUGGAGCGGCUACGAGCCGCUUCAGUGCCGCAGGGAAGCCAUUAAGCCCGCCGCCUGGGGAGUACGGCCGCAAGGCUGACUUAAAGGCCA
rnacentral:rRNA from 1 species